GCUGGGUGUGGUGGCUCACGCCUGUAAUCCCAGCACUUUGGGAGGCUGAGGUGGGCGGAUCACCUGAGGUCAGGAGUUCGAGACCAGCCUGACCAACACGGAGAAACCCCGUCUCUA
rfam:Nomascus leucogenys chromosome 3, whole genome shotgun sequence.